CAGUAUAUUAAAAAAAAAAAAAAAGAAGUCAUCAAAGCAACAUUUUGGUAUUUUCUUAAGAUGGCUGACUUUGAAAAAGUUCUUAGAAUGUACAAGUUGCACCUUCAAGUUUGAUUUAAAGUCUACUUAUCAAGAAAAAUGACUGCAGAAAUGAUAAGAAUAGACCUUUGUGGCAGUGCUUAAGUUCCCCUUUUUCCUUUCCUUUUCCUUUUUAAUGAGGACUAGAAUAUUUCCACUGUGAACUGCCCACAUAGAGCACCAAAAGAUCACACUUGCGUCAUGCCAAUCUUUUUCUUUGUGCCUAUAAUUGGCUGAUUGUGCUAGCAACGCAUGAGCCUGCUCUCCCCCUCCUUUCCCCUCAGAACAGCCUUGGCUACCUAUUAUUAAGCCUUGUUGCUGGUUCCCUGAGAGGAACUGCUCUGCUCUACUGCUUCUUGCUAGCAAAGGCAGUGCCAUUGCGCAGGUUGAAACAGCAGAAGCAGCAUCCAUUUUAAUCUGCAGGAAGCCUCUCUCAGUAGAAAGCUGUCCUCUUCUUUAGACCCUGCAGGUUUUUCAGUUUGCAGCUUCGGUAAACAGUCUCGGCUCCUCAGUCUGCUUUUCUGGAUGAUGCUCUGAGAUGGUACACCAGGAAAACUGUUCUUAUCAGGGACCUUUCAAGACUCCAGUAGGAAGUAUUGAGCUGUAUUGUGUUUAGGCUGUGUGUAAUUGGAAGGUGGUAUCAAGAAUCAAUGUUGUGAAAAAAUCUUAUCAUCAAAGCAAUAUAAAACACUAAACCAAACUCAGAUUUUUUUUUUUAUUUCUAAUCAGAAUUUCCCUAUGGUUUCUUUAUAGUGGAAUAUUUCAGUGGGUUUUUAGUAGACAUGUUAGUUUAUAUAGUGUUCCUCGCUCUUUUUUAAAAUGUAUUUUAUGUUUUCAGUUUGUUUAAACAAAUGGGCAACUAUAGAGAAAAGUUGAUAUAGGACAAAUCUGACAUUAUACUUUAUUUUAAAAGAUAUGUCCCUGUAUAUAAUAAUUUAGAUGGAAAUGCAAGAAGAUAAUGUUAUUUAAGGACAGUGUAGGGAUAAACAACAACUGGUUCUAUAAUUUUUAAUAAAUACCCAGCUGUGUCACAAAGAAUCUUCUAGAGCCAUAUUUUGAAUUCUGGUUGGUGUUAAAGGUCAUCUUUUGUCUCUUUUGAAAAAAAAACUCAGUUCUUUAGCAAGUUUGAUUAGCUGAAAGUACACUGAGUACCAUCAGAGAUAUUAGAGUGAGCAGAUUUUUACAUAGUUCGGUAUUUAAAGUUUGGUUGCCUGGCAUAAUGAAUUUGGUAUGGAUUAUAAAUUGUAUGUUAACAGAUAAAAUCUUUGUAAUAAACAAAGUUACUUUAAAAACAAAAAGAGUUUAUCACACCAUUAUUAAGCUAAGAAAAAAACAGAAAUUAUAUAUUAAUUCAUAUUUUUAAUCCAACCGUGAUACAGAAUCUAAAUUUUAGAGUCCAGUUGAAAGAUAAUAUGAUUAGAUUCCCACAAUGCAAGCAGUAAAAGCUGCUUCUUUCAUGGAGAGAAGAAAAAUCUUAAAAGCUGCUAUCACUGCCAUCUGUGGGUAGCUAAUAAAUGCCUUGUUUGCAUCAUCUUUCUAGAUGCAUUGAGUCAACAGCUAUGUGCUAUUAAAAUAUAGUGCUUCAUCCUUUUUAAAACAAACUAUUCAAACAUUAGACUCUUCAUUUAUUUUUGAUGUAGAACCAAAAAUCACUAAGGACAUUUCCAUACUUUGGUUUCCCUUCUUAUAUUAUCAUAAUCCAUGAAUUGUGACUUAAUAGCCAUAAGUGAACAAACUAAUAUAUCACCUAUUUUCUUUGGUUUUCCUCUUUUCUAUGUGCCAAAUGGACAACAAUAGAAAUGAGAGAAUGCUGUAUGAGGUUCAAAGCUGAGAUGAUAUUUUAUGCUGUUUAAACAAGCCAGGAUUAGUAAACCAGCUUUGAAUCUGAAUCUUGCUAUGGGUUUGUAAACUAUUAGCCUAGGUUAUUUUUUCAUACAAAAAUCUCCCUCUUCAGACAGAGAGGGAAAAAAGACUACAUGGAUCAAUGAAUUGCUUAUGUAAAUUCUGGUUUAUCAGUAAGGAUUCAUUGCUUUCUUUGGGAUUACUUUAAUUUUUUAAAAAAGAAUGGGAAAUUAAAUACAGAAAACAAAGCCAUCUCCACCUUGUUUACAAGAUUGUUCUGGUUGCACAGAAGCCCCCUCAAUAUUUUGGAUGGAUGGAUAAUAAAUAAAUAAAUAAUGCUGGAUGGCUGCAA